rnacentral:rRNA from 1 species
GACGAACGCUGGCGGCGUGCUUAACACAUGCAAGUCGAACGAAGAGCGAUGGAAGCUUGCUUCUAUCAAUCUUAGUGGCGAACGGGUGAGUAACGCGUAAUCAACCUGCCCUUCAGAGGGGGACAACAGUUGGAAACGACUGCUAAUACCGCAUACGAUCUAACCUCGGCAUCGAGGAUAGAUGAAAGGUGGCCUCUACAUGUAAGCUAUCACUUAAGGAGGGGAUUGCGUCUGAUUAGCUAGUUGGAGGGGUAACGGCCCACCAAGGCGAUGAUCAGUAGCCGGUCUGAGAGGAUGAACGGCAACAUUGGGACUGAGACACGGCCCAGACUCCUACGGGAGGCAGCAGUGGGGAAUCUUCCGCAAUGGACGAAAGUCUGACGGAGCAACGCCGCGUGAGUGAUGACGGCCUUCGGGUUGGAAAGCUCUGUUAAUCGGGACGAAAGGCCUUCUUGCGAAUAGUUAGAAGGAUUGACGGUACCGGAAUAGAAAGCCACGGCUAACUACGUG